rnacentral:rRNA from 1 species
GACGUGAGGGCGCGAGCGUUGUCCGGAUUUAUUGGGCGUAAAGAGCUCGUAGGCGGCUUGUCACGUCGGAUGUGAAAGCCCGGGGCUUAACUCCGGGUCUGCAUUCGAUACGGGCUAGCUAGAGUGUGGUAGGGGAGAUCGGAAUUCCUGGUGUAGCGGUGAAAUGCGCAGAUAUCAGGAGGAACACCGGUGGCGAAGGCGGAUCUCUGGGCCAUUACUGACGCUGAGGAGCGAAAGCGUGGGGAGCGAAACAGG